CUGAACCUUCGGGGGACGAUAACGGCGUCGAGCCGAUGACGGGUGAGUAAUGCCUAGGAAAUUGCCCUGAUGUGGGGCAUAACCAUUGGAAACGAUGGCUAAUACCGCAUAAUGCCUACGGGCCAAAGAGGGGGACCUUCGGGCCUCUCGCGUCAGGAUAUGCCUAGGUGGGAUUAGCUAGUUGGUGAGGUAAUGGCUCACCAAGGCGACGAUCCCUAGCUGGUCUGAGAGGAUGAUCAGCCACACUGGAACUGAGACACGGUCCAGACUCCUACGGGAGGCAGCAGUGGGGAAUAUUGCACAAUGGGCGCAAGCCUGAUGCAGCCAUGCCGCGUGUGUGAAGAAGGCCUUCGGGUUGUAAAGCACUUUCAGUCGUGAGGAAGGUGGUAGUGUUAAUAGCACUAUCAUUUGACGUUAGCGACAGAAGAAGCACCGGCUAACUCCGUGCCAGCAGCCGCGGUAAUACGGAGGGUGCGAGCGUUAAUCGGAAUUACUGGGCGUAAAGCGCAUGC
rnacentral:rRNA from 1 species